rnacentral:rRNA from 1 species
AUUGAACGCUGGCGGCAUGCCUUACACAUGCAAGUCGAACGGCAGCACGGGGGCAACCCUGGUGGCGAGUGGCGAACGGGUGAGUAACAUAUCGGAACAUACCCUAGAGUGGGGAUAACGUAGCGAAAGUUACGCUAAUACCGCAUACGAUCUAAGGAUGAAAGUGGGGGAUCUUCGGACCUCAUGCUCAUGGAGUGGCCGAUAUCUGAUUAGCUAGUUGGUGAGGUAAAGGCUCACCAAGGCGACGAUCAGUAGCUGGUUUGAGAGAACGACCAGCCACACUGGAACUGAGACACGGUCCAGACUCCUACGGGAGGCAGCAGUGGGGAAUUUUGGACAAUGGGGGCAACCCUGAUCCAGCAAUGCCGCGUGAGUGAAGAAGGCC